UCCUAGUUAACCUAGGCAGUCUCGCUAGAGUGCCCACCAUCACGUGCUGGCAACUAACGACAAGGGUUGCGCUCGUUGCGGGACUUAACCCAACACCUCACGGCACGAGCUGACGACAGCCAUGCAGCACCUGUGCAGCUGUCUUUGGUAAGAAAACCGUAUCUCUACGGCGGUCAGCUGCAUGUCAAGUCCAGGUAAGGUUCUUCGCGUAGCAUCGAAUUAAACCACAUGCUCCACUGCUUGUGCGGGUCCCCGUCAAUUCUUUUGAGUUUUACCCUUGCGAGCGUACUCCCCAGGCGGUAUACUUAAUGCGUUAGCUACGGCACUGCAAGGUUUUUAAGCCCCACAACGCCUAGUAUACAUCGUUUAAGGCAAGGACUAC
rnacentral:misc_RNA from 1 species